rnacentral:rRNA from 1 species
GAUGAACGCUGGCGGCGUGCCUAAUACAUGCAAGUCGAGCGAACGGACGAGAAGCUUGCUUCUCUGAUGUUAGCGGCGGACGGGUGAGUAACACGUGGGUAACCUACCUAUAAGACUGGGAUAACUUCGGGAAACCGGAGCUAAUACCGGAUAAUAUUUUGAACCGCAUGGUUCAAAAGUGAAAGACGGUCUUGCUGUCACUUAUAGAUGGAUCCGCGCUGCAUUAGCUAGUUGGUAAGGUAACGGCUUACCAAGGCAACGAUGCAUAGCCGACCUGAGAGGGUGAUCGGCCACACUGGAACUGAGACACGGUCCAGACUCCUACGGGAGGCAGCAGUAGGGAAUCUUCCGCAAUGGGCGAAAGCCUGACGGAGCAACGCCGCGUGAGUGAUGAAGGUCUUCGGAUCGUAAAACUCUGUUAUUAGGGAAGAACAUAUGUGUAAGUAACUGUGCACAUCUUGACGGUACCUAAGCAGAAAGCCACGGCUAACUACGU